rnacentral:snoRNA from 1 species
UUGCCAGUGAUGAUAUCAGUACCCAAAAUACCAUCUUUCGGGACUGAAUGGCUUAUUAAGCCUUGCUGUCACUCUGCAAUUCUGAGGCAU